UACGUAGGGUGCAAGCGUUGUCCGGAAUUAUUGGGCGUAAAGAGCUCGUAGGCGGUCUGUCGCGUCUGCUGUGAAAACUCGGGGCUUAACCCCGGGCCUGCAGUGGGUACGGGCAGACUAGAGUGCGGUAGGGGAGACUGGAAUUCCUGGUGUAGCGGUGAAAUGCGCAGAUAUCAGGAGGAACACCGAUGGCGAAGGCAGUGUUCUGGGCAAGUACUGACGCUGAGGAGCGAAAGCGUGGGGAGCAAACAGG
rnacentral:rRNA from 1 species